rnacentral:lncRNA from 10 species
AAGAAAGCUGGUGGGGUGGCUACUGCUUUCUAGAUUACUCAGUGUGUGACUGGAAACACACUGGUCGCUUUGCACGGUCACAGCCGGCACAGCCUGUAGUCACAGAAUGUUCUGGGCUCACCCUCUUCUCUGGCCUGGGGAAGUGAGGCUCAGCGUAGAGGCUGUACCCACAGGCACAUGACGGUCUGCACCCAGGCCAGGGCUCAGUGAGGAGCCGGAGUGUCCCGGCCUGCCUGGACUCCAGCCGGGACCUCCCACAUGAGGCUCAUUCAUCUAUGCCCAGGAUUCUCAAAGAACCCCGGCCCCAGCCUGCUCUCUGUCAUGUGCUGAGCCCCAAGCUUACCCAUGCCUCCUGCCGUGGGGACCAGAGAAUGAGAAGACCACCAGGGAGACCCGCCCUGGAGACCAUGGUGUGCUGCUGACUCACGAGAAUGACAUCACCAAGUGUGCCCUCUGUCCUGUCACUUGGAGCUCCUGGAAGCACAGAAUGUCCCUCAGCCUGGACACUGCCCCUGGCCUGGGGAGGUAGAUGCUCCCCACCUCCCCUCCUGCCCUAGUGCAGAGGAAAGAAGAUCAAAUCUGGAGUCAGCAGACAUAGGAGUCUAAUCCCUGGUUCUGAUAUAUCUAGGCAGUCAUUGCCUUAGCCACACUCAGCCUUAAUCUCCUGAUCUGCAAAAUGGGGAGAACCACACUAACUUUGCAGUUUGCGGUGAGAGUCAAGGAAACCCACGUGAGAAGUGUCUGGCACUGUGCCUCGCAUGUAGGCACUUGAGAGGCUGGACAGGGAUAAACUGCUCUUCAAUAAUAG